GAUGAUGAUCCCAAGCCUUCUGGCGAUCUAGACAAAACAAGUCCACCGUGGGCUUUGAAAAACGCUUUCCUUGAUAAAAUUUAAGCGUUUUAUAAGAGGAUGCCGGGGAAGGUUUUCCGGUUUAUCCCGGAGGGCUUGUAGCUCAGUUGGUUAGAGCGCGCGCUUGAUAAGCGUGAGGUCGGAGGUUCAAGUCCUCCCAGGCCCACCAGUUUAUCCAUUACUUUCAUAAGUGCUUUUAAAAAAUAAGUACUUCUAAAAAGAUUGCUUCUAAAAAGCUUAUCAAAAUUGGCAGGCUUAUUGCUUUUGUGUGAGUAAUCCAAAGUUAAAGCAAAUUAAUGGCAAAAAAACAGUUCAAAUGCUAAAUACUAAGGAGUCAAAAUUCCUUGCAAAGUGAUUUUUACAGCGUCCAUUUGGUUGAUAUAAAUUCCAAAUGCUCAUAGACGUCAAUGCCUAUAUGAAACUAUCGGUUCAAUCAUAUCGCUUUGAGUUAUAUAGAUUUUGUAAUCCCUCUUUUGAUCGUUUUAAACGCUUUAUUCUGAUUUAGGGGCCGUAGCUCAGCUGGGAGAGCACCUGCUUUGCAAGCAGGGGGUCGUCGGUUCGAUCCCGUCCGGCUCCACCAUAAGGUCAUCAUCAUUGUUGUAAGAACA
rnacentral:tRNA from 2 species